rnacentral:lncRNA from 1 species
ACCUUUAACUUAGGUAAAUAUUCCUAUACCAUACACAGAUUUUGUUGGGAUUGGUAAAAGUAAGAUCACUUUAUUUUUUGAAAUUUUGCUGGUUUAUCAUUCAAAAAUCAAAAGUAGUUAGGACCGCACAUUCAUAUUUCUGGCACUUUUUUACUUGUUAACUCGAGUAUGUUUUGAUUAUAAAUUUACUCCAUACUUUAAUAAUUUAUUGUUGGAAUAGCCUCCUUUUAUAUUUGGAAAAUUCAGAAUUUUCAUCUCAGAGUUAUGUGAAUUUUUAUGUAAGGAAAUAUAUCACAUGCAUUUGGCUUGUAAAUCUCAAGUAAGAAUACCCCUAUUAGUUUUUUUGCAGGGCUAUAUUACUGACAUUUCUUUUAAUGUGCUCUACCAGUCUCUGUUAGAACAAUUUAAAUAUUCAUAAUAUAACAAGUAUGUAAUGGGAUGCUCUAACAAUUGCACAUGAAUAACUACCCAUAGAUUUUAUAUAAUACAACUACAGGUUAAAAGUCUUGAUAGUCAUAAUACAAGACAUAUAUUUAAUUUCAAAUAAAACAUAUAGAAAUACUGGGACUAUUAUAUAAAUACCUGUAACACAUAGCUGAGAGGGUGAUAGAGCAGAUUGUUACCCUGAGAAAACAAUAUCAACUGAGGCUAAGCCAAGUUUGACAAUGUUUUUGAGGGGUACCAAUCUGCUCUAUCAUCCUCUCACUUGUGUGUUAUUUAAUUCAUUAUACUGAAUGUCGUAUUAUUAUUGUCUUUUACUGUUGAAUUUUUACCAUGACCCCACAUACAUAAUGUUGCAGAUAUCAGAACGUUAACUGAAGUGAAACAAGAUGUUUUUUUUUUUAUUUUGACAUUCUAUGAAAAGUUUUGAGCCAAAAUGUAAAAAUUGAGCAUUGUAGUUAAUUAUUUGAUGUAAAUUCAAUUCAUUAUUCUUUAAAUUAUCAAUUUUUGAUUGGUCUGCAAAAGAGGGUGACCUUCAAAAAAGUGUCUCCUGUUCAGCCAUGGGAUAGAGUAAAGUGUCUACCUCAUAUUAGCCAGUAAAAAUCUAGCAUUUUAAUGUGAAGUAUAAUAAUAUACUAAUAGUAUAAUGGUCCCAGAUAAAUUAAAAAAAAAAUAACAAUUCACAGUAUAUAUACCAACAUUUUUAACACAAAAUGAAAGUUAACAAAUAGUCCCAGAUAAUCAUAAAACCAGGUGCUCUGCAGGGCGCAGCUUUAUACGACCCCAGUGGUUGAACCCUGAACAGUGUGGCAAAUUUGAUCACAAUAUUCAAGCUUGAUACUGCCUGAAUUUGGAUUGAGAUCAAAUGUUUGACAUAAUAUAGGUUUUUAUCACAAAAUAAAUGUGGUUAAAGAUCUAACAAAUCUAUUGCACAAUACUGUGCAAUUAAAGAUUUCUUCUUGAAACUUUUGAAAAUAAGCAGUGUAAGGGAUGUAAUCAAGUAAUCAUCAUAUAUUAACGUAUUCUUUAAUUUUGUUGCAUUACCAUCAUUUACACUGCUUUUAUAUUGUCUAAAUAAUGUCCUUUAACCAGAAAAACCCUUGUUUUCCCCCUAAUUGCUUAAUGAUUUGAGCCAUAACCCCCAUAACCAUCCCUUUGGAGUAUGGAAACUUGUGGUAUAAUUUCAGGGAGAUUUAUACACUUAACCAAAAGUUAUUGACUGAAAACUACAAAAAUGCUUCUUUGGGCCCCUUUUUUUGACCCCUCACUUAUUGAAACCAAUCCCCUUCCCCUUGGAGAAAGAACCCCAAAACUCAAUUCCAGCCUUUCCGUUGUAGUAAGAAACCUUGUAGUAUACUUUCAGAGAGAUCCAUACACUUAAACCCAAGUUAUUGCCUGUAAACUAGAUCUCCAGUGGUCCGAUUGGCGCAGCUUUAUACGACCGCAGAGGUUGAACCCUGAACGGUUGGGGCAAGUAUGGACACAACAUUCAAGAUGGAUUCAGCUCUGAAUUUGGAUUGUGAUUAAAUAGUUGACGCAGCAUAGUUUUCUGACACAGAAUGAAUGUGGUCUAAUGAUCUUAAAAUUUUUUUUUGCCUUUGAGCAAAUCACUAUGCUGUUGAAUAUUAAUCCUCUCAAAAAAAUGUUUGAAAAAAUUUUUAUUUUUAUUUCUGAAAUCUAAAAUAUUAAAAUGUAAAAAAAGUGCUUGUAAUCACUGAAUGGUAAAGAUUGUUUUAAUUUAUUAGUUGGUAGUAAAAGUGAAUAUUGCAUUGUAUAUCGUAUAAAGCAAUGAUUUAAGUUGAUUCAACUACUAUUCUGGAAAAAAGAAAGAUAGCUCCAAUUUUCAAAGAAUAUUUCAUAAAGCAUUGGUUUAAGGUGAUAUAACAACCAUUCUGGACAAAG